rnacentral:piRNA from 1 species
UCGUGGCUGCUUUUCUGCUUCUUCAUUAGUGC